rnacentral:rRNA from 1 species
GGAAGUUGCAAAGUACUUUGAAGAGAGAGUUCAAGAGGACGUGAAACCGAUAGGGUGGAAGCAGAUGAAGUUGACGAACGAGUGUUGUACUCAGAAUUACAUCUUGUGUGUAGUUUGUUCUUGCAACCGAUGUGGGCUGGCGUGCUUGGUCAAUGCAUUGUGUCAAGCGUCGAUGGUGACCCUGCGGAGGGAUAUUCAUUCGGCGUAAGGUGCGUGGUAUGGCUAAGUAGUCGCCGGUCUUGAAGUCAGCGCCUCAUCUGACCCGUCUUGAAACACGGACCAAGGAGUGUAGCGUUUACGCAAGUCUUAGAGUGUAUCGAAACUUUGAGGCGUAACGAAAGUAAAGGCAAUUUAAUUUGCUGAAUUGGGAUGCGUCAUCUCUUGUGGAUGGCGUCGGACCAUAGUUUUAUGGCGACUGCUUGCAGUGCUGUGAAAAUAGAGCGUAAAUGAUGCGACCCGAAAGAUGGUGAACUAUGCCUGAGCAGGAUGAAGCCGGAGGAAACUCUGGUGGAAGUCCGAAGCGGUUCUGACGUGCAAAUCGAUCGUC